UGGGGAAUAUUGCACAAUGGGGGAAACCCUGAUGCAGCGACGCCGCGUGGAGGAAGAAGGUCUUCGGAUUGUAAACUCCUGUUGUUGAGGAAGAUAAUGACGGUACUCAACAAGGAAGUGACGGCUAACUACGUGCCAGCAGCCGCGGUAAAACGUAGGUCACAAGCGUUGUCCGGAAUUACUGGGUGUAAAGGGAGCGCAGGCGGGAAGACAAGUUGGAAGUGAAAUCCAUGGGCUCAACCCAUGAACUGCUUUCAAAACUGUUUUUCUUGAGUAGUGCAGAGGUAGGCGGAAUUCCCGGUGUAGCGGUGGAAUGCGUAGAUAUCGGGAGGAACACCAGUGGCGAAGGCGGCCUACUGGGCACCAACUGACGCUGAGGCUCGAAAGUGUGGGUAGCAAACAGGAUUAGAUACCCUGGUAGUCCACACCGUAAACGAUGAUUACUAGGUGUUGGAGGAUUGACCCCUUCAGUGCCGCAGUUAACACAAUAAGUAAUCCACCUGGGGAGUACGACCGCAAGGUUGAAACUCAAAGGAAUUGACGGGGGCCCGCACAAGCAGUGGAGUAUGUGGUUUAAUUCGACGCAACGCGAAGAACCUUACCAAGUCUUGACAUCCGUUGACCGACAUAGAAAUAUGUUUUUCCUUCGGGACAGCGAGACAGGUGGUGCAUGGUUGUCGUCAGCUCGUGUCGUGAGAUGUUGGGUUAAGUCCCGCAACGAGCGCAACCCUUAUGGUCAGUUACUACGCAAGAGGACUCUGGCCAGACUGCCGUUGACAAAACGGAGGAAGGUGGGGAUGACGUCAAAUCAUCAUGCCCUUUAUGACUUGGGCUACACACGUACUACAAUGGCGUUAAACAAAGAGAAGCAAGACCGCGAGGUGGAGCAAAACUCAGAAACAACGUCCCAGUUCGGACUGCAGGCUGCAACUCGCCUGCACGAAGUCGGAAUUGCUAGUAAUCGUGGAUCAGCAUGCCACGGUGAAUACGUUCCC
rnacentral:rRNA from 1 species